rnacentral:lncRNA from 1 species
GGAGAGAGAGAGCUCAAGAGAGGAAGAGCCCGCGGCGGGGACUAGCAGCAUCGGCGACGCUUGCGGCUGCACAUGGGUAAGUCCCCUCUUCUCUCUCUUCUUCUUUCUUUCUUUCUUUCUUUCUUUCUUUCUUUUUUCUUCAAAUGGUUUAACAAAGAGAUGAAGCUAGGAACCUUACCUCAGCCCCGGCGAAGAUCCGGCGGCUUUCUUCUUUUCCGACGGUAAGGGAAGUAGCAGAAGACCACCCAAACCAAAGAGGAGCAGGCUUCAACAGCUCUCUCUCCCUCUCUCUCUCUCCCUC